rfam:Salmo salar isolate Sally breed double haploid chromosome ssa09, whole genome shotgun sequence.
UGUAUUCUCUACUGUAAGUCGCUCUGGAUAAGAGCGUCUGCUAAGUGACCAAAA